rnacentral:rRNA from 1 species
GAUGAACGCUGACAGAAUGCUUAAUACAUGCAAGUCAACCUGAACUUCGGUUUGGGUGGCGGACGGGUGAGUAACGCGUAAAGAACUUGCCUCACAGAUAGGCACAACAAUUGGAAACGAAUGCUAAUACCUGAUAUUAUGAAUAUAUGGCAACGUAUAAUUAUGAAAGCUAUAUGCGCUGUGAGAGAGCUUUGCGUACCAUUAGCUAGUUGGCAAGGUAACGUAUCAUCAAGGCGAUGAUGGGUAGCCGGCCUGGGAGGGUGAUAAGCCACAAAUGGACAGAGAAGGCACCCGUACGCCUACGGGAGGCAGCAGUGGAGGAUAUUGGGCAAAAGACCAAGAGUCUGAUCCAGCAAUUCUGUGUGCAAAAUGAAGUUAUUCGGAAUGUAAAAAGCUUUAAGUUAGGAAGAAAAUAAUGACGGUACCAACAGAAGAAGUAACGGCUAAAUACGUG